UACGUAGGUGACCAGCGUUGUCCGGAUUUACUGGGCGUAAAGAGCGCGCAGGCGGUCGUUCAAGUCGAGUGUGAAAGCCCCCGGCUCAACUGGGGAGGGUCACUCGAUACUGAUCGACUUGAAGGCAGGAGAGGGAAGCGGAAUUCCCGGUGUAGUGGUGAAAUGCGGCAGAUAUCGGGAAGAACACCCGUGGCGAAGGCGGCACUCUGGGACGGUACUGACGCUGAGACGCGAAAGCGUGGGGAGCGAACAGG
rnacentral:rRNA from 1 species